GGUCGGUAGAAGAAGCAAAUUAAAUAUUUUUGUAAAUUCAAUUUGCGCUCGAUACCUGACCAC
rnacentral:pre_miRNA from 1 species